GCCAGCCAGGAAGGAGGAGGCAGCCAGAGUGGCCACCACUGGUCUCUGCAGCAGAAGACCCCUUGCUGCCAGAUUCUCACGAUACAAGAAGAAGUUAUCUUAGAGAGAAGGCUGUUAUUUCUUCCUGGAGUACCUAGAAUUACCUAGAAUAUGUGUGUCAAGGUCGACCUGGGGUACAGCUGGCUUUACUAUACCCCAUGUGUUACAGAGUCCAAGCUUCAGUGAUUCCCAUUCAGUGAUUCAUUGGCCUGAAGAAAACAAAGUAUCUUGAGCAUG